rnacentral:rRNA from 1 species
GAUGAACGCUGGCGGCGUGCUUAACACAUGCAAGUCGAACGGUGAAGCCUUCGGGUGGAUCAGUGGCGAACGGGUGAGUAACACGUGAGCAAUCUGCCCUUGACUCUGGGAUAACUUCGGGAAACCGGAGCUAAUACCGGAUAUGACAUCUGGCCGCAUGGUCUGGGUGUGGAAAGAUUUAUCGGUCAAGGAUGAGCUCGCGGCCUAUCAGCUUGUUGGGGGGUAAUGGCCCACCAAGGCGACGACGGGUAGCCGGCCUGAGAGGGCGACCGGCCACACUGGGACUGAGACACGGCCCAGACUCCUACGGGAGGCAGCAGUGGGGAAUAUUGCGCAAUGGGCGGAAGCCUGACGCAGCGACGCCGCGUGAGGGAUGAAGGCCUGGUCGUAA